rnacentral:lncRNA from 1 species
UCUUCUUUUAUUCAUCGAGAGUAUUAAAGAGCCUAAGAUAACAAAAUUUCCAAGCUUUAGGCUUGAGAAAGGGCAAAUCCAACUUGUCUCUGAAGAUGAGCUGAAUGCGUCACUCAAGAGUAAGAUCUCAUGGACCUCACCGCGUGCCUCGUGUGUAGGCUGUCCACAGGUGUCCUCGAGAAGACAGGCAAAGUGCUUCCACAUGCUUACUUUCUGGCGAAAUUCCAGGCACUCUCCUCCCUCCCUCUCCACCACAGACUCAGGCUGCUUUCCCUCUCGGCCUCCCAACAUUCAAGUUCCAAAUCAUGGGUAAGAAAUGGAGAUUGAGUGGAGACAAUAAAUGUAGUUGUCACAGUUGAGGAAAUUAUUUUAAAAGUCUUCACCACCAUAGGGUGUUUCUACAAAGUGUGAUAAAGCCAACCUGGCAAUGUUUGUCCCAUUUAAGUACAGUUUCCUCAGGAAGUGUUCGAUCUGGAUUUUGUCUGUUAGGUGAGAGCUUUCUGUGGAUUAGGGACAUUUAAUGACCCUCCGGUGUCUUUCAAGAUGGAGGCCAUGGCCUCUUGCCAAACUUUGGUCUUUAUUGUUUUGAUGAGAGAGGCAAACUAGAGAGUAUAUUCCCAUGGCAACUUCAGAACAUCAUCUGUAAUAUUACUUAAAGGACAGAGGGUGGCUGUGCUAGAAGUCUCAGCUGGACUGGAUAUCAAACUAGAAAGGGACUGGGAAGAGGAGUGUGCUCGGGCUGGGACCAUGGGUAACAU